rnacentral:rRNA from 1 species
CGCUGGGCGCAGGCCUAACACAUGCAAGUCGAGCGGUAACAGAGAGUAGCUUGCUACUUUGCUGACGAGCGGCGGACGGGUGAGUAAUGCUUGGGAACAUGCCUUGAGGUGGGGGACAACAGUUGGAAACGACUGCUAAUACCGCAUAAUGUCUACGGACCAAAGGGGGCUUCGGCUCUCGCCUUUAGAUUGGCCCAAGUGGGAUUAGCUAGUUGGUGAGGUAAUGGCUCACCAAGGCGACGAUCCCUAGCUGGUUUGAGAGGAU